UACGGAGGGUGCAAGCGUUAUCCGGAUUUAUUGGGUUUAAAGGGUGCGUAGGCGGUCAAUUAAGUCAGCGGUGAAAGUUUUCAGCUUAACUGGAAAAAUGCCGUUGAUACUGAUAGGCUAGAAUAUGGUUGCUGUGGGUGGAAUGUGUGGUGUAGCGGUGAAAUGCUUAGAUAUCACACAGAAUAUCAAUUGCGAAGGCAGCUCACAAAGCCAUUAUUGACGCUGAGGCACGAAAGUGUGGGGAUCAAACAGGAUUAGAUACCCUGGUAGUCCACACCGUAAACGAUGAUAACUCGCUGUCGGCGAUAAACAGUCGGUAGCCAAGCGAAAGCGAUAAGUGAUCCACCUGGGGAGUACGACCGCAAGGUUGAA
rnacentral:rRNA from 1 species